rnacentral:rRNA from 1 species
GGGUAAUCUUGUGAAACUUCAUCGUGAUGGGGAUAGAGCAUUGCAACUAUUGCUCUUCAACGAGGAAUCCCUAGUAAGCGUGAGUCAUCAGCUCACGUUGAUUACGUCCCUGCCCUUUGUACACACCACCCGUCGCUACUACCGAUUGAAUGGCUUAGUGAGACCCUCGGAUCGACGCGUGGAAACCUUCACGGGUAUCUACUUGUUGAGAAGUUGGUCAAACUUGGUCAUUUAGAGGAAGUAAAAGUCGUAACAAGGUUUCCGUAGGUGAACCUGCGGAAGGAUCAUU